CUGGAGCUGUGCAGAGACUUUUGUUGUACAUAACCUUGAAUAUGAGCAAAUUUGCUUCAUGUAAAAAUUCUACAGUUUGUUAUGCGCAAAAUAAGAGCCAGCGUAUGCGAAGAAUUUUUACAUGAAGCAAAUAUUGCUCGUGUUCGAGAUUAUGUACGACAAAAGUCCCUGCACAACUCCAGCAUCCCCUUAUUAAGGACAUUAUUAUGUCUUUAACAUUAUAAGUAAACAUAAAUUGAGAAAGUCUCGUGUUCAAACGUGUGGAUUAUGUGAAAUCAUAUGUAAUGAGGACGAAGUACCCAGCCAUGAGUGUCUUCAAGGAUAUUCUAAUUUCAUUACAGAUAAUAAUUUGUACUUUUACCCUGUAUUAGACGAUGGAGAAACUAUUGUUAGAAGAAGCUUGACACAGGACGCUGAAACAAUAGCAUCUGUACCUUUUCAUGGUGAUAAUCAAGGUCAGAUAAAUAGAAUAUUCGAUCCAUUAAUAAUAAUAGAA